rnacentral:tRNA from 1 species
GCUCGUGUAGCUCAGUUGGUUAGAGCGUUCGGUUCACAUCCGAAAGGUCCCUGGUUCGAGUCCAGGCACGAGCA